AAUUGAAAUCAUGUAACCUAAACACCAUUCUCUUCUAACAGUUACAGUGAAUAUGGCUCACUCAAUCUCAUUUGCUUCUAAUCUAAGGUUACUCUCUCUCUCAAUCUUAUUUAUUUCUAAUUUUAGAGAUGUGUGCUCUUUUUUAUUUUUGCCAAUCAUCUAAUCUGAUAUGACUAUGUGGGACAUCUCUUCAACAACCCUGCGGAAAUAAAGUUGGAAAACUUUGGUGCCAGAAAUGGACAAAAAACAUGCUUAUACCUCAAUGCCUAUGUCAUACUUUGCAAGAAAAGCUUAGGUUACAUCAGAUUGAGUGAAUUGUGAAUAGCAAUAUUCACUAUAACUGUUGCAAGAGAAUGGUGUUUGGGUUACAUGAUUUCAAUUGCAGAAAUGUAACUAGUGGAUGACAAUCACGAGUCUUGAGGAGAGAGAAAAAAAUGGAACUCGUAUAUGUGAGCUAUGAGUUUUUGUAAACUCGGAAUCAUGAGUUUCUGUAAACUCGUACAUGAGAGCCACA
rnacentral:lncRNA from 1 species